AUGCAGCCAGUUUGUUUCCUUGAUUCACUCCAACGUCCCAAGACUACGACUUGCAUGCAGAUCACAACCGGAUCAACCCAGCCGGCUAAACAUGCUCGUAGAGCCCCACACUCCAGCCUUCGUCGCACUUGCCGCAUCACACAGCCACGCUGCCUCGCGCAGCACUGCAGCCUCACGCCGCCAUCGGCAUCUUGCCACCAUCGUCGUAUCGCACGACGCCUUGGCAUCUCCCUUCUCCGCACGCCUCCGCUGAAGCUUCGUUGGACAACUACUCCCUAG
rnacentral:rRNA from 1 species